UUCUCUGCUUCUCGAAUCAUCUGAUCCAUCCCUGUUUCGCUUCGCGAUCCGACCAAUUCACUUCACAGCUUCUUCGAUCAGUGCCGCCCUCGAUGCAUCCGCUGGGAGUGUUUGGCAAGCCGCGUCGCAGCAGCCGGCCUACCUCUACCCUGAUCCCAUCCUGGCUUUGUGAUCUUUGAUACUGCUUGUUCUUUGUCUGAGGGCGAGCUCGGAAGAAUCUUGCCAGGAGCAAAAGAGGUAUUCGGCGAGGAGCUUCUCAUAUUGCCUUCGCCUCAGAGCUUUUGCGACUUCUGACCAAGAAAAUCCCCACAAAUGUUCGCCGUUAGAUCACGCCGGACGACUAAACAACAGCAAUCAGCAUGGCAGAAAAAUAAAGACGAGAGGAAAUAAGAACCUUGAGAGGCGAUCAGCCGGUAAACUUGGCCGAGCAGAAGCAUUUCCUUGGGCUUGAGCAACUUCACCCGGGUAAUCCGGAUCCCAACGCCGCCAUCGUGUCUCUCAUUUGGCGGGACGUCGAGGGUUACGAGGGCCACGUGGUACCCUGGGUUGCUCUUCAUGACAUUGGCAGCGGUCGUCGGCCAGUGUAGCCUCUCCACUUUCCCGCCCGGGUACUGGAUCACCACCGCUGCCGCAUCCGCUGCCUGGCAAUUCCCCAUCCUUCUGUGUUACCUUUGCCUGCAGUUGGCUAUGGUGAUUUAGUACGAUUCAGGUAUGGGAGAAGUGUGGUAGAGAAAGAGAAACAGUGAUAGGAGCAUUCAACCAACUUCGGCUACCUUGGUUCAGUUGCCUUAUUUAAUGCGAUGGGAUGAGGUAAGAAGCCUAGCUCAAAGCUCGAUAUUAUAGAAUAUAUUCUCGCACAUAUUCUGCAGUCAAUCUCUAUAUUUUUAAACAAAGAGGGAGAAUGAAUACUUCCGUCUGCCUUUGAGCUACCUUCCACGUGACAUGAUGUCAAUGGCGAGCUUAUAUGGGCUAUGGUAAAAGAGUGUGGUAGGCGUGCGUGUUAUAUACGUUGCUGGCGACUAAGGAGAAGCAUGAUAACAUCCCCUGCACGCAGGGCGUGGGAUUCUCCAUGCUAUCGGAGUGUGAAUGCCCGCGAGAGGGGGCCACGUACCAAGAGAAGGUAGUAAGCAGACUGUUGUCACUGAUGGAUAUAUUACUUUGUUGCUUCCUUCUGUUAUGGUCGCUUGGCCUUACCUGAGGAAGCCACCGCAUGGAAUGGGAUAUGGAAGGCAAAAGCUGCUCCUACCUUUCUGUGAUGGUCGCUUGCCCUUUACCUGAAGAGUCCUGAUCUCUAGCGUCAAUUAAAUUGGUUGCAUCAAGCAUCAGGUAACAGAUAGCAGUAGUUGUUGCUUCCUUGUGUUGCGGUAACGGUAGUGUUGCUUCAAGCGGUGGGUUUUCUCUUCAUUUAAUCUGACAAGGGACAGCGCUCAGCGGCAAUAACCAAAACGGUCCAAAGUGGCCACCUCUUUCUCCGCUCCAUGAUUGCCUUGUGUUGUGGCAUGAAAUCAGUGAUCACGGUCAAUGUCGCAAAGUAGGGUUUAUUAAUUAACUAAUGCUCCACUUUGAUUUAUGUAUGCAGAGAAUCUACAUGUUACUCUAGUCAUCCACGUACUCGAAAGAUAAAUGUCUCCAACAUGUUUACAUGUUUCGGAGUUGGAUGUGUUCAUCACUGGGGAAAAAAACAAGCUACUUUGGACGGAAAAAUUAUCUUUUGAUCUAUUUUUCUCUCAUACUUCACCUGCUAAAUCUUUUAUACAAAUGAAUGAGGUACUGCUGUGUUAGAAAAAGCCACAAAAUAAAAAAGGAAAAGGAUUACACAGAGGACAGAUGGUCUGUUCCAUUCAGAUGACCAUUUGAAGGUACGAUGUCUUCGAGUACUAGCUUGUAUGAUAGCUCUUCUAGGUUUCUCUUCCUUAGUCCAAUUGCCGACUAAACGUCAUUAAGAUGCCAUGUGAAGUGUUGGAGUUCUCACACUAAUUGUCCGAUCUCAUCUUAUUCAAACCUUAGCCCAGUAGGGAUCUAUCGGUGAAGAUUGAGAUAUCCUAGGCAUAUAAUCAUGGUUAUCAAAAUUUAAUUCCACGGAUUGGUGUACUUGAUACCUAUAUAGGUAUUUAUUUGAAUAGAUUUUAAGAUCAAUUUUUAAUCACAUUAGAUGUCUGACUUUUUUCA